rnacentral:rRNA from 1 species
GACGAACGCUGGCGGCGUGCCUAAUACAUGCAAGUCGAGCGGACAGGAGGGAGCUUGCUCCCGGAAGUUAGCGGCGGACGGGUGAGUAACACGUGGGCAACCUACCCUGUAGAUCGGGAUAACAUCGAGAAAUCGGUGCUAAUACCGGAUAAUCAUUUGAAGUGCAUGCUUCGAAUGUAAAAGAUGGCUCCGGCUAUCACUACGGGAUGGGCCCGCGGCGCAUUAGCUGGUUGGUAAGGUAAUGGCUUACCAAGGCAACGAUGCGUAGCCGACCUGAGAGGGUGAUCGGCCACACUGGGACUGAGACACGGCCCAGACUCCUACGGGAGGCAGCAGUAGGGAAUCUUCCGCAAUGGACGAAAGUCUGACGGAGCAACGCCGCGUGAGUGAUGAAGGUUUUCGGAUCGUAAAGCUCUGUUGUUAGGGAAGAACAAGUGCCGUUUGAAUAAGGCGGCACCUUGACGGUACCUAACCAGAAAGCCACGGCUAACUACGUGCCAGCCGCCGCGGUAAUAC